AGAGGGGUGGACGAGUUGGCAAAGUCACCAGUCCUGAAAACUGGCGUGCGCUCGCAAGGGCCACCGGGGGUUCAAUUCCCUCUCCCUCUGCCA
rnacentral:tRNA from 1 species